ACACAGGUGGUCGGGUAGAGAAUACCAAGGCGCUUGAGAGAACUCGGGUGAAGGAACUAGGCAAAAUGGCACCGUAACUUCGGGAGAAGGUGCGCCGGCUAGGGUGAAGGAUUUACUCCGUAAGCUCUGGCUGGUCGAAGAUACCAGGCCGCUGCGACUGUUUAUUAAAAACACAGCACUCUGCAAACACGAAAGUGGACGUAUAGGGUGUGACGCCUGCCCGGUGCCGGAAGGUUAAUUGAUGGGGUUAGCGCAAGCGAAGCUCUUGAUCGAAGCCCCGGUAAACGGCGGCCGUAACUAUAACGGUCCUAAGGUAGCGAAAUUCCUUGUCGGGUAAGUUCCGACCUGCACGAAUGGCGUAACGAUGGCGGCGCUGUCUCCACCCGAGACUCAGUGAAAUUGAAAUCGCUGUGAAGAUGCAGUGUAUCCGCGGCUAGACGGAAAGACCCCGUGAACCUUUACUGUAGCUUUGCACUGGACUUUGAGCCUGCUUGUGUAGGAUAGGUGGGAGGCUUUGAAGCGUGGACGCCAGUUCGCGUGGAGCCAUCCUUGAAAUACCACCCUGGCAUGCUUGAGGUUCUAACUCUGGUCCGUGAUCCGGAUCGAGGACAGUGUAUGGUGGGCAGUUUGACUGGGGCGGUCUCCUCCUAAAGAGUAACGGAGGAGUACGAAGGUGCGCUCAGACCGGUCGGAAAUCGGUCGCAGAGUAUAAAGGCAAAAGCGCGCUUGACUGCGAGACAGACACGUCGAGCAGGUACGAAAGUAGGUCUUAGUGAUCCGGUGGUUCUGUAUGGAAGGGCCAUCGCUCAACGGAUAAAAGGUACUCCGGGGAUAACAGGCUGAUACCGCCCAAGAGUUCAUAUCGACGGCGGUGUUUGGCACCUCGAUGUCGGCUCAUCACAUCCUGGGGCUGAAGCCGGUCCCAAGGGUAUGGCUGUUCGCCAUUUAAAGUGGUACGCGAGCUGGGUUUAGAACGUCGUGAGACAGUUCGGUCCCUAUCUGCCGUGGACGUUUGAGAUUUGAGAGGGGCUGCUCCUAGUACGAGAGGACCGGAGUGGACGAACCUCUGGUGUUCCGGUUGUCACGCCAGUGGCAUUGCCGGGUAGCUAUGUUCGGAAAAGAUAACCGCUGAAAGCAUCUAAGCGGGAAACUUGCCUCAAGAUGAGAUCUCACUGGGAACUUGAUUCCCCUGAAGGGCCGUCGAAGACUACGACGUUGAUAGGCUGGGUGUGUAAGCGUUGUGAGGCGUUGAGCUAACCAGUACUAAUUGCCCGUGAGGCUUGACCA
rnacentral:rRNA from 1 species